UGUCUCUGGACCAGUACCACACAGAAGAGGAGAUCUACCAGCUGUCUCUACAGAAAGAGCCACGCAGCACUAAACCGGCGAACUCCGGCUCCUCCCCUGCGCCUGCCCCCCAGCCAACGAUGAUUGACGAGUGGGCUGCGUCGGUGAAGCCCAAAGCCGACUCCUGCGGUCAUCAACAAACACAUAGAGAAGAUGGUGGAUUCUGUCUUCAAGAACUUUGACACUGACGGGGACGGUCACAUCUCCAGGGAGGAGUUUGAGAUCAUCAGGAACAACUUCCCAUACCUCAGCAAGUUUGGAGAACUGG